rnacentral:rRNA from 1 species
UACAGAGGGGCAAGCGUUGUUCGGAAUUACUGGGCGUAAAGGGCGCGUAGGCGGCCUUCUAAGUCGGACGUGAAAUCCCUCGGCUUAACCGGGGAACUGCGUCCGAUACUGGAGGGCUUGAGUGUGGGAGAGGGAUGCGGAAUUCCAGGUGUAGCGGUGAAAUGCGUAGAUAUCUGGAGGAACACCGGUGGCGAAGGCGGCAUCCUGGACCAUGACUGACGCUGAGGAGCGAAAGCCAGGGGAGCAAACGGG